AGGGAGUGACAGAAUGGCUAUGUGUCUGGCUUGAAACCAGAAUAUGGGGGUUCGAUUCCUUCCUUUCUC
rnacentral:tRNA from 1 species